GCUUGACUGUAACCUGGAAUGGGGUUCCGGCUUGGCAUGCGCAGGAUAGGUGGGAGGCGAAGAAGGUUCCCUUGCGGGGGGAGCCAGAGCCAUCCUUGAGAUACCACCCCUUGUCAGGGCGGGAGUCCUAAACCCUCACCCGUGCCAGCCGGGGGAGGGGACAGUUUCAGGCGGGCAGUUUGACUGGGGCGGUCGCCUCCUAAAAGGUAACGGAGGCGCGCCAAGGUUCCCUCAGGCUGGUUGCGAAGUCAGCCAGAGAGUGUAAAGGCACAAGGGAGCUUGACUGCAAGAGCUACACCUCGAGGCAGGGACGAAAGUCGGCCUUAGUGAUCCGAGCGGCACUGAGUGGAAGGGCCGUCGCUCAAGCGGAUAAAAGUU
rnacentral:rRNA from 1 species